rnacentral:rRNA from 1 species
UACGGAGGGUGCAAGCGUUAUCCGGAUUCACUGGGUUUAAAGGGUGCGUAGGUGGGAAUGUAAGUCAGUGGUGAAAUCUCCGUGCUUAACAUGGAAACUGCCAUUGAUACUAUGUUUCUUGAAUCUUCCGGAGGUCAGCGGAAUAUGUCAUGUAGCGGUGAAAUGCUUAGAUAUGACAUAGAACACCAAUUGCGAAGGCAGCUGACUACAGGAGCAUCGACACUGAGGCACGAAAGCGUGGGAUCAAACAGG